CCGCCGCCCUCCCUGGCCGGGCCCGCCACCCCAGGGCCGCCCGGGUUACCUCGGCUUCUUCCUACUUCUGUCCGCAGAAGGGCUUUCCAGAGACUUCUCGGCGCUCUGAUUCAUCGGUGUGAAUGUCCGUCAAAGGAAAUUGAACCCUCAAAGGCAGAAGAACCCGUCACUCCCGCAAGGAAGCAGCGGCCUAAGAAUAAAGGGGUGGGGUCUGUGAGGUUGGGAUUGGCUUGCGGCUGUAAAACCUGCCUUAUGGUUCAGCUAAAGGGAUGUCAAUCCAUUCCAAAGGUUUGCCGCGCUCUCCAGCUGGGAACCGUGCGCAUGCGCAGCACGCAAAGCCAGCUGGGAGUGGUAGUCCGCUCAGCGUACUUUAAACGCCUUACCAACUAUAAAAGGCGAGAAAGGAAAGCUCUCUUCCUUCAGACUUCUUCCUGCCCCGGUGGGUCAGUUCCUCGCCUCGCGCUUACGUCACGGGAGGAAUGCAGUGACGCGCGCGGCUCGUCUGUGACGUCAGCGGCGGAGCUGGGCUAGGGAUUCAGUGACGUCACUAGGCGCUCUUCCCCUCCCCCCCUAUUGCCCUACGUUGGUAAGAUGGUCGUGGGAUGUGAAGGCUGGGUUCGAUCCCGGGUCCCAUCCCUCGAGCAAACUUCCCCCGCCACCUCCGCCUAGACCCGGCCUCCACGAGGGCUCCCGCCUCCCCCUCCUAUCGGGCCGGAAAAGGUCACCGCUGCCGGGACAACCGCGGCUAUCUCCGCCCCGCAGGCGGUGCGGACAGCCCUGGGAAAGGUCUCCUGCAAGCGGAGGACUUAAUUAGAGGCUUCUAGCGCGGGCGAUAAGCAAAGGUCGGCGCCCAGCACCCCCAGGGGAGUGCGGGCUGCUCACCAAGGCUCCACACCGCACCCCGACGCUCUUCCCCCUCCGUCGCGCCGCCCCCUCAGCGUCCUCCCUGCCUCAGUUUCUCCAGGAGAGAAGAGACAGAAGCGGGUCGAGACUAGGUUGAGGGCGCAAAAACUCAAUCAUCAAGAUAAAUGACAUUCUAUCCAAUAUUUUUUAAGUAUCAAAAUUAAUGGGGAAAAAAUAAAUCCAUGGUGACCAAACUACCAAAAUUUUAAAUAAAGAUAGGAUCCUGCCAGGAGUGGGAUCAGGACGAAGUGAGUCACGCAAGUGCUGGAUCGGAUCUUGUCUUUUACUUUUUCAAAAACAUAUUUUAAUCAUCAAUUUUUUUUGCAUUAAUUUUGAUUUCUCAAAAUAGUAAUUAUCUUGAUAAAUGAGUUUUUUGCCCUCCCCCCACCCCCCCACCCCCGCCUGCCGCGCCACCCUCUUCAGUUUUGCGCCGUGGUCUCCACCAGAGACAGGAAAAUGAACGAAAAAGCUCAGAGCCCAUGGUUCUACUUGUAGUCCUGCUGUGUGACAGUGUGACAAAGCGGCUCUGUCUCUGAGCUGCUGUUUCCUGGUUCAACCAACUUCACCCCUCUUGUGUGCAAGGCCGGGGCUGUAAAAGUAAAGAAAGCAGACAAAACCUCA